rnacentral:rRNA from 1 species
AGAAUUUCCAGUGUAGAGGUGAAAUUCGUAGAUAUGGAAAGAAUACCAGUGGCGAAGGCGACUGGCUGGGCCAAUUUUGACGCUGAGAUACGAAAGCGUGGGUAGCAAACAGGAUUAGAUACCCUGGUAGUCCACGCAGUAAACGAUGAGUGCUAGUCGCUGGGACAAUAGUUUCAGUGUCGUAGCUAACGCAUUAAGCACUCCGCCUGGGAAGUACGGUCGCAAGAUUAAAACUCAAAUAAAUUGACGGGGGCCCGCACAAGCGGUGGAGCAUGUGGUUUAAUUCGAAGCAACGCGAAGAACCUUACCAGACCUUGACAUGGUGUGUUUGAAUUACAGAAUCGUAAUUCUUCAGUUCGGCUGGCACACACACAGGUGCUGCAUGGCUGUCGUCAGCUCGUGUCGUGAGAUGUUGGGUUAAGUCCCGCAACGAGCGCAACCCUCAUUUUUAGUUGCCAUCAGGUUAAGCUGGGCACUCUAAAAAAACUGCCGGUGAUAAGCUGGAGGAAGGCGGGGAUGACGUCAAGUCCUCAUGGCCCUUACGGUCUGGGCUACACACGUGCUACAAUGGUGGUGACAGUGGGCAGCGAUACUGCAAAGUAAAGCUAAUCCCAAAAAACCAUCUCAGUUCGGAUUGGACUCUGCAACUCGAGUCCAUGAAGUUGGAAUCGCUAGUAAUCGUAGAUCAGCGUGCUACGGUGAAUACGUUCUCGGGCCUUGUACACACCGCCCGUCACGCCAUGGGAGUUGGUUUUACCUUAAGCCGGUGCGCUAACCGCAAGGAAGCAGCCGUCCACGGUAGGGUCAGCGACUGGGGCGAAGUCGUAACAAGGUAACCGUAGGGGAACCUGCGGUUG